CGAGAAUUCUUCUCAAUGUGGGAAACCCUGAAGGAGCGACGCCGCGUGGAGGAUGAAGGUCUUCGGAUUGUAAACUCCUGUCAUUUGGGAACAAUGUGCAUUUAUUAACUGUAGAUGUAUUGAUAGUACCAGAAGAGGAAGAGACGGCUAACUCUGUGCCAGCAGCCGCGGUAAUACAGAGGUCUCAAGCGUUGUUCGGAUUCAUUGGGCGUAAAGGGUGCGUAGGUGGCGUUAUAAGUCAGGUGUGAAAUCUCGGGGCUCAACCCCGAAACUGCACUUGAUACUGUAAUGCUCGAGUACUGGAGAGGAGAUUGGAAUUUACGGUGUAGCAGUGAAAUGCGUAGAUAUCGUAAGGAAGACCAGUGGCGAAGGCGAAUCUCUGGACAGUUACUGACACUGAGGCACGAAGGCCAGGGGAGCAAAC
rnacentral:rRNA from 1 species